CUGGUUUACAAGGCUCUCCACCCUGCUGAGGCCCUCCACCCUGCCAACUGGGUCGAACUCCUCUGGCUAGCAAGGUCACAAGAUCAACCCCGGUACCCGGCCUAUCCCAAAUAAACCUCAUGUGACUGCA